UUAAAUUUCAGCUUCAGUUGCUGGUUGAGUUAGGGAGAGAGACUGUCACAGAGAAACACAGAAAAACUUCAGGCAGCAGUGUGGCAGAGACAUGACGUGACAAAGCCUGGGUUAGCUGGAAAGAAGGAUGAUUCUGCCCCAGGAAAGGGAGCAGGGCAAGGUGUCAACAGCCAUGGAAAAGGGUCUUCGGAAACACAGCCACAGGCAAACUCCCUUUCCCGCGUGAAGACAAAGCAAUGUGAAAUUCUGAUUAGAGGAAGUGGAAUUUGGGGGCUUUGAUGACAUUUAGACAGGUGGAUGGUGGGGUGCUGUCUGUGCGCAUGGACAUCUUAUUCAAAGUGCAACUGCUUCUGCUAGCUACAGAUGUCUAACUGCAUCCAAAUAUCUGCAAGGAGGCUGAGCUGAUUGAUCACCAGAACUGGACCGGCAGGGGCCAGUGGGAUGGGGGCAGUCAAGGGGCUGGGAGCUCUAGCUCUGUUGUUUGGGGUUCUUUAAAUGAUGGGCAUAUUAUUUAAAACAUUUACUUUGUACUUUAUGUAAAAGUAUUCAAAAGUAAAUUAUAGGUAUCAUGACAUGGUACCCCUUCAGUACUUAUCUCUUGUAUUAAAAAAGGACAUUUUUCUGCCCUAAAUUUAUUUUUCUAAUAGCAGAAGCAGCAGAAAAAAAUCAUCUAUUAAACUACUGUGGUGAUUUAACUUAUCUACAUCAAAAAGCUAAGCUGGUGUCAAAGAAAAAAUCUAAACCCUUACUUAGAGUUGGGAACUGAUUUAAUGGUUAUUUCUAGGUCCUCCUAAAAACAUCAGUAUUACCCCUGUGUCUUACUUUUAUCUAAUGUUUUACAUUCUUUUCUUUAAAAUGCUGACAUCCUCAUAGACCAACAAGUCAAAGUUAAUUAUAUUUGUUGUAUUUAUUUACCUCAGUCAUUUAAAUUACUAAAGUAAUACAAUGCAAAGCUAAUCACAACGGACUGAGUAUCUUAAACAAGAUAGUUAACCUAGAAUUAUCAGACUCCCAAAGAGUCCAGAGAUAAAUUCAGGACAUCUGUGAGCUUCGACAGAAAAAAAAAACUUUAGUUUCACUAAGAACUGAAAUUCAGCAUUUCCUUCCAGUAUGAAUAGAGGCUACAAAUCACAGAAGCAUUAGCAGACCUGUGAAUCUGUUACCAUAGAAAUCACUAUAUUUUUAAAUCACAGUGUGGUUGACGUAUUUCAAAAUAUCAUUUGCUCUUACCUCAUGUUAGGUGUAUUAGUUAUUAGAUGUGUUACCAGGUCUUUUACUUAAUGCAGUGAUUAAAAUGCAUGUAUGUAACUCUUAUUACAAACUUGUUUUUAAAUAUUUAGAUAACUGUAUUUCAAUAUAACUGGGUUUUAUUAUACCUUAUAUAUUUCACUGGAAGCACAUAUAAACAGUCUUCUGAGGGGAAGGGCUGUUUACACGUUUCACGAAUGUCAAAGGUCAAGAACCCCUGAAACCCAGCCACUCUGUCCAGCGAUUCCGGUCUCCCAACAGAACUUCUGUCCCCAGCGCCAGGCGCGGUCUCCCACACUUACUCUUUUGCAUGGACAAAUAUAUUUAUGAAU